AACCCUGCAGAUUUCUUCCCAGUGUUUAGAUGGAUUGACUACAAAGGCCUUGAGAAGACUUUGGCGAGGUUUGGAGCCAAAAUGGACGCUUUCUUGCAACGUUUAAUUGACCAACACAGAAGAGAUAAGGGUGGAAAUACAAUGAUAGAUCAUUUGCUUUCUUUGCAAGAGUCGGACCCUGCGUACUACACCGAUGUUAUCAUCAAAGGAAUUAUAAUGGUGAUGCUCCUUGCUGGAACAGAGACAUCAGCAUCAAC